rnacentral:lncRNA from 1 species
AUGAAAGAAUUAAAGUGGCCUUCAAGGAUAAAGUCGCCCCCUGACACAAGAGAUAGGAGCAAGUAUUGUGAAUUUCAUUGAGAUCAUGGGCACACCACAGAGGAUUGUCAAGCUUUGCAGCGGGAGAUCGAGGCUCUCAUUAAAAGAGGAUUCUUAAGGAAUUACAUUGGUCAUGAUAAACGCCCGAGGAAUGUUCAUGACAAUCGGAAAGAGCCUGGAAUCGGAAGCAGUGCUCAACCCACUGCCGGGACAAUUAAUAUUAUCGUCAGGGGCAUAGCAUCUGGAGGAGACACAAAUAGUGGGCGAAAGCAGUAUGCUCGCCAACAUGCUCAUACCCUAAGGAAAUCCCGUGAUGAAGUCAAAGACAUCACUUUUGGAGCAAGAGAUUUGGAAGGACUAUCAUAUCCUCAUGACG